UAAAAUUGAUGGGCUUCAAUGUGAAUCAAGAAGAUACUUGUGAUGGAAGAAAAAACCCAAGAACAAGCCCAAGAAUUAUGGAGAAGCAUGGUCUAAGUGCUAUACAUAUUUCACAAUUCAAGGCCAAGUCCAAACGGAAGAAGAUUGGGCCAUAUGAGUUUUGAUUAAAUUUAAGAACUUUUCCUUUUUUAGUUAGAGAUUUAUUUUUGAUAUUACUUUCC
rnacentral:lncRNA from 1 species